rnacentral:rRNA from 1 species
UACGUAGGGGGCGAGCGUUGUCCGGAAUCAUUGGGCGUAAAGAGCGUGUAGGCGGCUUGGCAAGUCUGACGUGAAAGCCCGCGGCUCAACCGCGGAUUGUCGUUGGAAACUGCCUCGCUAGAGUCCGGAAGAGGAGAGCGGAAUUCCUGGUGUAGCGGUAGAAUGCGCAGAUAUCAGGAAGAACACCCGUGGCGAAGGCGGCUCUCUGGGACGGUACUGACGCUGAGACGCGAAAGCGUGGGGAGCGAACAGG